GGACCCCGCCCCCGGAGCCCGCCCAACCGCCGGUGCAGGCCCGCUCCGUCCUUGCCCAGGCUCCCUCGCGGGCUGUGCGUCGCGUUCAGAGCUGCCGCUGGUUGAUUUCACGGUGCUUUCCACCAGCAAGAAUUGGGGGUGGUGCCGGGCUUUGGCUUCGGCCAGCGGACUUGGGUUCCCUGGCCGCCCCAGCUACCCGUCUUCACGUUUCCAUCUGUUCUCAGCUGGGGGGUACGGGGGAAGAUGGCUGGAAGGCCCCCUGCCCCUGACUCCCACUUCCCAGCCUCUCUGACUGCGGGCUCCUUGGCCUAGCAAGGUGCAGAACACCUGCCACCUGCACCUGAGAGCCCUCCCACUCCAAAGACCUUCCGCACCAAGACCUCGUUUCUGGCAGUCAUGUCUCCUCUGAAAUAGGUGGCAGUUCACUUUCACAAUUUUUAAACUGGUCAGAGACACGGCCGCAAGCCCCUCCUGUCCACAUGCCCAGAGUUUAGAGACACCAAGGUCUCAGCAUCACCUAGAACCUCUGAGAAGUCAUCUCUUGAUCCCCUUGACACCAGGACUUCAGAGAUGCCCGGUUUCAAAAGAAGACAAGCAAGGGGGAUUCCUCAGUCAACACCCAUUUUCCCCUCUCUCCCUUGCCCACCGAAAGUGAUUUAUAAGCACAGCAGAAAUCAAAACAAACAAGCCAUGCUUGGAAAACGAGGAUCCACAUGUGUAAAUAAACGGGAACUACAGCUCAAAGGCA